AAUAUUGUCAAUGAUUUGACUUUCUGACUAUUGAAUGUGACUUUUUGACCAUCGAUUGUUUACAUACCAGCUGACGGCCAACGUCCAAUCAACAUAUGUUGCUACAAAUGUGUGCUCCAGAUGGGGUACUUUUGCAAGAACUCUCAGUGCAAAGCCAACUGGAAAUGAGGUUAUUGGAAUUCUGAGUGGGUGUUGUGGUAGGUACUGGUGCAGGCCGGGAGCGCCAAGGCGAUGGCAUUUGAUGAGACCAACCUUGGUGCUUGCUGCUGACAUGUGGAGGAGAAAGCCACAGGAAUCACCAUCUCAAUGAGGGAAAGGCAAGGCCCCUGAAGUCCCAAUCCCUAUGAAAAAUGCUGGAGAAGCGUAGACAAAGCAAAAUUGGGGGCGAGGAGGAGGGGAUGAUUUGCAGCUGGAAGGAGGAGGAGGAGGGGAUGAAGUGCAGCAAACCACCACGGUGAUUUGCUCUCUUCCUGACGCGACUGCAACUGCAGGCUCAGAUGCCACUGCUGCUGGCAAUUCUGCUUCACUACCUGCUCCUGCCGCCACGGUGCCGGUGGCUGCUCCUGCUUCCGGCGGAGUCGUCCCUUGCAAAAGUUGCAAUGCUGCUCAGGCUCAGGAUCAGGCUCAAGCGUGGUGGUAGAAGACCUGCUCCUUCCCGCGUCAAGAUGGGAAUGGGAAUACCGGCACACAACCCCUCCUCGCCUUCCGCUUUGUCUUCGUCGCCGACAAACUGCAGAUUCAGGAGGACCACCUCCACCUCAGCGGCCCUAUACCUGAAUUCGGCGACCACAGCCACACCCAGGUGAAUGGAUCUUGUGUUGUUGGUAGAACUCCGUUGAUGGCUUCUUCCUAUGUCGAAGAGCAUGUUUCGUGGUAUCCAAGAGUAGCUAGCAUUACACUAGCAGAGCAUUUUUUUGUCGAUCGCAAUAUUUGUGAUUGUGUGGAAUAUUGUAUGGUUAUCUACGUGAAGUUUGAAGUUCCUGAGCAUGCAAUAUUUGAUAGUUAAUCUGGUUGUUGUGAUGUGAACGAGUGUAUGGAGUUUCACAUGUUCUGUUCUGUACAGAAUAUAUUGUAAUAAACCUAUUUUGGUUGUUAUUUGAAGAUUUUCAUACGCUUC